GGGGUUGUGGCUCAGUGGUAGAGCGCUUGCCUAUAAACUUUGCAAGGUCCUGGGUGCAAUCCCA
rnacentral:tRNA from 1 species